GCCAUAGGCACCAUUUUCAUUGCCAUCAUCGCCAUCAUUUUCGACGACAUUACCACCAUUCUCCACAUCAAAGAAGGUCCCAUUCUCACUCUUCAAUAACUAUCCAAGUCUAGAUGACUAAUCUACACCAUUUCCUCACCAUUUAUAUCUCAUCCUCUUCAUUAAGCAACUCUCUUCAACCCUAAGAGCAUCACCCAGAAGAAAGACAUACUCCUCCACAUGCUAGAACUCCACCACCAAUUCGUUAACAAAAUUAUCCAGAAGAUCAGUAUUCAGCAACUAACACUCCUAUUCACCGGCAACAACAGCAUUCACCAAAAAGUCAACAUUCAGCAGUCCAUCAACAGCUAGCACUAUCCAUUCUUCUAAUCCUUCCUAGAUUUGAAGAUGUGUAUAGAGACAGGCCAGGAUAUAGAAGAAGCAUACCACCACCAC
rnacentral:lncRNA from 1 species